GCUACACUAGUUCAUUUAGCAGGUCCUGAUCUGGCUGUGGGCUACACUAGUUCAUUUAGCAGGUCCUGAUCUGGCUGUGGGCUACACUAGUUCAUUUAGCAGGUCCUGAUCUGGCUGGGGGCUACACUAGUUCAUUUAACAGGUCCUGAUCUGGCUGUGGGCUACACUAGUUCAUUUAGCAGGUCCUGAUCUGGCUAUGCCAUAUGGCUGUGGGCUACACUAGUUCAUUUAGCAGGUCCUGAUCUGGCUGUGGGCUACACUAGUUCAUUUAGCAGGUCCUGAUCUGGCUGUGGGCUACACUAGUUCAUUUAGCAGGUCCUG